AUUGAACGCUGGCGGCAGGCCUAACACAUGCAAGUCGAGCGAGCGGCGGACGGGUGAGUAAUGCCUAGGAAUCUGCCUGGUGGUGGGGGAUAACUACUGGAAACGGUCGCUAAUACCGCAUACCAUCGGAUGUGCCCAGAUGGGAUUAGCUAGUAGGUGGGGUAAAGGCUCACCAAGGCGACGAUCCCUAGCUGGUCUGAGAGGAUGACCAGCCACACUGGAACUGAGACACGGUCCAGACUCCUACGGGAGGCAGCAGUGGGGAAUAUUGGACAAUGGGCGCAAGCCUGAUCCAGCCAUACCGCGUGGGUGAAGAAGGCCUUCGGGUUGUAAAGCCCUUUUGUUGGGGAAGCGGUACCCAAAGAAUAAGCACCGGCUAACUUCGUGCCAGCCGCCGCGGUAAUUC
rnacentral:rRNA from 1 species